GGCAGUCUAUCUGCAGUGUGGCCUAUCUCUGCAUAUGUAGCUAUUCCCAUCCAGGAAGGGUGGACAGGACCCACAGCAGCUGCAUGUCCUGGUUGUGAUCUGUGGCCUCAGACACCACGAGGUGAGACGUGAGCCUCUAGAGGUCACUGGCACACCAGACCAGAUGGCAAGAGGGACAGGGCUGCUCUGGGCAAGGUUUUACAGCAAGUGCUGCAGAGUGCAAGGUGACUCUGCUGAAGUUCCUCUGGAAGCUGCAGUUUCUUGUGGACUCUACUCCCCCUCCAGACCUGCUGGUGGUGUUACCUCUUCCAUCUGCAGAACUGUUGCCCUUUCACCAGCUGCACUAGCAUCUGUAGCACCAGGAUCUGCUACUUUGCAGAAAACUGCCUUGUGGCCUUUCUUUUUUACAGAAACAACAUGUUGA
rnacentral:lncRNA from 1 species